AUCUUGGGAAGGUGUAGCAACCAAACUAGGUCAAGCACACCAGAUUGGAGUCUUGAGGAGACACAACAAUCACGCAAAAGCUUAAGAAGGGACUGUCAACGUUGGUCUCUGUGGGUGAAAGGCUCAAAACUGAUGAAAGAGAAGAAAGUGGUGGGAGGUUGAGAGUUGAAGAAAGAGAAGGGAAGCUCAAAGCUGUGCCUGUGUGAGGGGAGAAAAUGAAGGUAGGAAGGUUAUAAAUAUGUAUUUAUACGCAGGGCUAAAGCAGCAGUUG
rnacentral:misc_RNA from 1 species